rnacentral:rRNA from 1 species
UAAAGGUUUGGUCCCAGCCUUUCUAUUAGUUCUAAACAGACUUACACAUGCGAGCAUCUACAUCCCGGUGAGAACGCCCUCUAAAUCAUCAAGGAUCAAAAGGAGCAGGUAUCAAGCACACUAACACUAGUAGCUCAUAACGCCUCGCUUAGCCACACCCCCACGGGACACAGCAGUGAUAAAAAUUAAGCC